rnacentral:tRNA from 1 species
GCCCCAUUGGCGCAGUCGGUUAGCGCGUCGUACUUAUAAGUUAACGCUAUGAAAUGCGAAGGUCAGCAGUUCGAACCUGCUAUGGGGCA